ACGAGCUCUUUGCUGGAAAGGUGAAGGUCACGGUCAUUUUCUCCGUCACAGGCAGCUCCUGGCUCCGUAUCUGUCUGUUCCCAUCCCUCCAGUGCUCCAGGACACCAUCACAGCUGAGUGUCUGUCGCACCGGCCGUGGCACCGACAUUCCCGACUGGGAGCCGUGGUGGUGGAGGCUGCUGAUGGCCAGGCCAGGAGGUGCUGACUCCGCUGCAGACGGCCUUGAGACGCACCGGGAAUGCCGUGGCCAGCUGGAAAACCGCCUGUCCCCGGAGCCGUGCUGUGCUGUGCCAUUCCGUGCUGUUCUGUGCCGUGGGGAGCCCGAGGACGAGCCAUGAAGGACAGCAGAGGGGACACACCAGCCAGGGGGUCCCAACACAGAGCUGCUGGAGUCACGAAACUCUUUCCCAGGGCUCCCACACCACCGGUGGCUGCACAUCGUGUCCCCCCACACCGGGAUCCGCACCGCGCUCCCAUUC